AGAAAGGUGUGGGAGGAAGAGAAAAGGGAAGAGGGUGAGGGAGAGGGGUGAGGAGAGAGACAGACAGAAGGUCCAAGCCCUAGGCCAUCUCUCUGAAGCUGUGUAAGGAGUGAGAGAAUGGGCCAGGAGCUGGGGUGAGACAGAUAAAGAGGCUGGCCUAAAGCCCAGAAGAAAGAUGAGCAGUUGUAGCAAGGUGCCACCAUACUGACAGUCUUUAUUGCUGUAUUCCAUUUCUCUAGGUCACCCACUCAGCGUGAGUAAUUGUCUAGUGCUGUUCCAUCGACUAUAAAUUCAGAAGGAUUUGGAAUCAGAACAACCCUAUUUGGGUCCCUCAGGUCCUCUGUUAACCCUGGGUGCUCAAGCACAAGUAAACUAAGUAGCAGCUGGGUACUUAGCGCCACCUGCUGGUGGUCCCUGGAAGCAAGGCAGCAGCGACUGUCCCGACUGUGCCUCUGACAAAUCUACCUCUUCAAGCAGGUUGGAGACUAGGACCCAUCUCUAGUCAACCUCUGGUGUCCUGGACACCAAAUGACUUCUGUAAUAGAACGAACCACGGACCACAGCCUGCCCAGAUCUUCAGUGGGCCUUGUGACCUCAGCCAGACAUUGGCAUCUCUGGGCUACGAUGCACGCCCAUGACAUGGAGUUUGUGUGAAAUUCCCCACUGGCAUGCUUGACAGCUUGCACAGCAAGCAUUAGCCCUGUCCUGGAAAUCUGAGGAAGGAGAACACCCCAGAAACACAGAGCCAUGUGUCUCUCAGUAUCUAUGUGAUUUAAGGCAACCUGGGGCAGGAGGGCCCCCCACCUCCACCAGCCAAGAAGCAGGAGCCGGGCCCAGCACUACUACUCUACAGCCAAGCCCGAGGCAGUCCACUGCAGCCAGCCUGCCCUCCGCUGAUGCCGAGAAGAGCCCAGGGCUCCUAGACAUACGUCAGAGAAGGUAGCUGGGAACCAGAGCACUGUGGGAACUGGCCUCUUCACCCUUCACCUUCGAUGCGGGGAAGUCUCCAGAGUGGACAGCCGCUCAGAAUGCAGAGAUACCCGGAGAAGCUGGCUAUCUGGCUGCCAGACACAGAAGGGCUUGGUGGGUGGGGAUGGUAGACCUUAGUCUGGACAGCCAAGCUCACAAUCUAGCUUUCCCAUUUGGUGUGACAACCUCCUUGCUCCGUCUUCCCGCCGGCUAGGCACAGCCAGGUCUACCUCUCAGGGUCUGCAGGAAAUUAAACAGGCUUCCCCCCAGGAUGAAGCUUGGUCCACAGCAACACAUUCAUCAUCACGGACUUAAUCUAGAAGAUACUCCAACUUCUCGCCCUAUCAGGAGCGUGUAUACAGCACAGCCCCUGGCGUUCCCUUCCACGUGUACUGAGCACCUACUGUAUGCAAAGCCUCAUACCAGACAGCAGGGCUGGGAUGAUGGGAACGGUAGUUUGGGGGCUAUACUCCAUGGAGCUUCUGGUCUAAAAGGGAGGCAGGAGGUGGACAGACAUCAAACUGACAGACUCACAGCAAAGCUUCGAAGGACCAUAUGACCAGGAAGGCGUGGACCUGAGUGGUCCGAGAAUUAUCGUUGGCUUUCUUCCUCCCUGCAGGUAAUAAGGGUGUGAUGGCUGGUGUUUUGCAGCUAUUGUGGACUCUGAGGCAAAGCCGAUGGCACAGACUGGGGUAUGGGGGGUGGGGCAGCUGUCAUUCUUGUCCAUUCUUAGCUUUUAUGAAGACGGAGAGGACAUUUAUCCUGUUUUAAAAACUUUAGUUUUCUAGUUGCUUCUCUGUCCCCCAAACCCUCUGAACCACGUGCCUAGAAUUCUUAAGGAGCCAUCCCCAUCAUCCAGUAGGAACCUGGGUGAGAGGAGUUUUGGUUGAAUUCACUCGAGUGGAAGGAAUUAGCAGGAGACAGAGACGUGCACAAUAAACCAAGUUAGAGAUGAACCUGGGUGGGGUGGGGACAAGCUAGGAACGACCUUCAGGGCCGUCUGCAGACACAGCUCUAGAAAGGCAACAGUUGAAGUCAGCAGUUAAAGACAGGCCUGAGAGAAGGAGCUCAAAGCCAGGAGACCCAGCCUCCACACUGGAGACUCGUCAAGUCCAGCCCUCAGCUAAGCCAGACUCUAUCACUCGAAGACAUCAGAGUCAGCGACCCCAGGCAAGCUCUCGGACCUUCGCAUCUUAGUGUACUAAAGGGACAAUGACAAUUGUCCAUGCUCCUGGCACCUGUGUUCUAUCGGGUCCCUUAAUGACAGUGUCCAGAUUUUAUCUACUUUCUCCCCAGAACCAACUGACCUCCAAAGUGCAGUUUUCUUUUGGUGAGGAACAGCAAAGUGGAAGUGUAAGCUGAAUAAACCCUUUCCUCCACAA